AGUAGCAUAUCAAUAAGCGGAGGAAAAGAAAGCAACAGCGAUAGCCCCAGUAACGGCGAGUGAAGCGGCUACAGCUCAAAUUUGAAAUCUGGCCCCCUUCGGGGGGUCCGAGUUGUAAUUUGCAGAGGAUGCUUUGGCGUUGGCGGCGUUCCAAGUUCCCUGGAACAGGACAUCGCAGAGGGUGAGAAUCCCGUACGCGGGCGUUUGCCUCCGCCGUGUAAAGCUCCUUCGACGAGUCGAGUUGUUUGGGAAUGCAGCUCUAAAUGGGAGGUAAAUUUCUCCUAAAGCUAAAUACCGGCCAGAGACCGAUAGCGCACAAGUAGAGUGAUCGAAAGAUGAAAAGUACUUUGGAAAGAGAGUCAAACAGCACGUGAAAUUGUUGAAAGGGAAGCGCUUGCCGCCAGACGUGCCCGCGGUUGCUCACCCAGGCUCCUCCGCCUGGGGCAAUCCUCCGCGGGCAGGCCAGCAUCGGUUCGGGCGGUCGGACAAAGGCCUCUGUCAAGUACCACCCUUCGGGGUGGCCUUAUAGGGGAGGCGCAAUGCGACCAGCCCGGACCGAGGUCCGCGCAUCUGCCAGGAUGCUGGCGUAAUGGCUGCAAGCGGCCCGUCUUGAAACACGGAUCGAGGAGUCUAACAUCUACGCGAGUGUUUGGGUGUCAAGCCCGGGCGCGCAAUGAAAGUGAACGGAGGUGGGAGCCUCUCGGGGCGCACCAUCGACCGAUCCUGAAGUCUUCGGAUGGAUUUGAGUAGGAGCGUACGUGUUGGGACCCGAAAGAUGGUGAACUAUGCUUGAAUAGGGUGAAGCCAGAGGAAACUCUGGUGGAGGCUCGCAGCGGUUCUGACGUGCAAAUCGAUCGUCAAAUUUGGGCAUAGGGGCGAAAGACUAAUCGAANCCAUCUAGUAGCUGGUUCCUGCGACU
rnacentral:rRNA from 1 species